rnacentral:misc_RNA from 1 species
CUUGGGGAAAGCCUUCACUGUGUAAGCAAAAACAGUAAUAGAAUGUCAGAAUUGGUGAAAAUGUAAUAUGUCCAAUGCAUUACUCUCAUGAAACAUAUAAAUAUGAUGAAUAAUAAAAAGGAACAUAAAAUCAAUAACCUCGAUAUAUCCAAUAAAUUAAAAUAACAAAAUACUACAUGUCAAAUCCCUUAAAUAAUAACAAUAAAAUCCACCUCCGCUGUGUACUUCUAAAGACUCCAUUUCAGAGGGGGAAAACACUUAAUAAUAACAAAACGUUGCUACAAGCCAUCAUGUAGAUCAAGCUAGAUGGCAACUCAAUCAUAUGAAUCAUGCUCUUCUUUAAAAAGAUCACGCAAAUUACUAAAUCCGAUAAAUUAGAUCAUUCUUACUUAAUAAAAAACUAGCAUAUCAACUGACAUGAACUCUUCUUGUUUUGGCAAAUCCUUAUUAAAAAAAUACUGUUUCAACAGUCCAAAUAAUAAGGCAACAAAA